AAUACCGUAGAUUGGGGCACAUUGACGUUUUUGUCCAACAAAAAUGUCUCGCCCGCUUUCUUCUCCAGAUAUUCCACACAGUGACUUCAAUACUUUUGUCUUAGCUCAAGAUACGACAGGUUUCAUGUCAAAUGCUGAUUAUGCUGGGCAUUGUGAACUUUCCCCCUUUUCUUCUUCCAAAACCCUAAUUUUCAAUUGGAAAGCCAUUGACAAUUAAACAUAAGGUAUUUGUGACCCUUGGAUAAAUGGCUAUUUCUUUUCAGCAGCCAAAGGUGAAAUUGGCAACUGCCAUGGUGGGAGGUCAAACAAAGUUAGUUUUACAUUUUGGCCUAUGACAUCAAAUCCUUGAGCCAUCUUACCCGUUUGGGCUCACAAGAGUCACAACCUAAAACUAGGUGAUACAUCAUGUAAACUGGGGCUCUUUUUGAAUCUCAUGGAAUAAAAUCAUUCUUCAGUAUCAUGGUUUCUUACAAUGAUUUCUCUGCGAGUUUACAUGAAAAUGCAACUGUAACAGAUCCCAUUACCUGGAGAAAAAUUUGAUCAGCCAAUCAUGCCGGGUGCUCAUGGUCUUGCGACACAGGUAUCGCCUUUUUGGUAAGUCAUGCUGCAAUAAUUAGAUGGAUUAGGACCACUUAGUCAUUAAUUAUUUUUUCUUAAACUAACCUUGUGGUUGUGGAUUAUGUUGUGGACCUUGGAAUAAAGGGUUUAACUCAAGGAGUAAGAUAAAGAUAUGGCAUUCCAUCCAUCUGAAGAAUUACAGUAUUACCCUUUCGCUUUCUUUCGCCUCCUAAUGAAAAGUCGAGGGAAUAUCCCAAUUGCAGAAUUGGAAUUUUAUGAUAGGAGAAGUACAGUGGUUUAAGAUGACAAAGAAAGAGAGAAGUAUUACCCUUGCCUUUCUUCCUCACCCUGGUGGAAACUGGAAAGUAGUCGGAUACUGAUGGUUUGACGAAAAAGAAGCUUUAAUGGGUUUUUUUUUUAAAGCAGGAGUUUUUGACGAUUACAUUUAUUUACAACUUCAUAAAUAAACGAUUUGAUUUUUAUUGAUAUCUUUGGCAUUUUAAGGG